rnacentral:rRNA from 1 species
GACAUAAUGCAACUAGCACAAUCUAAUAAUCACCACCACCACCACCACUAAACCCAGCUUUCUUGUACAAAGAGUGGCCAGGGGGAAGCGACUGUUUACUAAAAACACAGGUCCGUGCGAAGUCGUAAGACGAUGUAUACGGACUGACGCCUGCCCGGUGCCGGAACGUUAAGGGGACCGCUUAGCUGACGUGAGUUGGCGAAGGUGAGAACUUAAGCGCCGGUAAACGGCGGUGGUAACUAUAACCAUCCUAAGGUAGCGAAAUUCCUUGUCGGGUAAGUUCCGACCUGCACGAAUGGCGUAACGACUUCCCCGCUGUCUCAACCGCAGACCCGGCGAAAUUGCACUACGAGUAAAGAUGCUCGUUUCGCGCAGCAGGACGGAAAGACCCCGGGACCUUCACUACAGCUUGACAUUGGCGUUUGGAACGUCUUGUGUAGGAUAGGUGGGAGACUGGGAAGCUGUCACGCUAGUGAUGGUGGGGUCAUUGGUGAUAUACCACUCUGGUCGUUUUGAACGUCUAACUCUGGUCCGUGAUCCGGAUCGGGGACAGUGUCUGGUGGGUAGUUUAACUGGGGCGGUUGCCUCCUAAAGAGUAACGGAGGCGCCCAAAGGUUCCCUCAGCCUGGUUGGCAAUCAGGUGUUGAGUGUAAGUGCACAAGGGAGCUUGACUGUGAGACUGACAGGUCGAGCAGGAGCGAAAGCUGGGACUAGUGAUCCGGCAUCGGCGUGUGGAAGCGGUGUCGCUCAACGGCUAAAAGGUACCCCGGGGAUAACAGGCUGAUCUUCCCAAGAGUCCAUAUCGACGGGAUGGUUUGGCACCUCGAUGUCGGCUCGUCGCAUCCUGGGGCUGGAGUAGGUCCCAAGGGUUGGGCUGUUCGCCCAUUAAAGCGGUACGCGAGCUGGGUUUAGAACGUCGCGAGACAGUUCGGUCCCUAUCCGCUGCGCGCGCAGGAGACUUGAAGGGGGCUGUCCCUAGUACGAGAGGACCGGGACGGACGAACCUCUGGUGUGCCAGUUGUACCGCCAGGUGCACGGCUGGUUGGCUACGUUCGGAAGGGAUAACCGCUGAAAGCAUCUAAGCGGGAAGCUCGCCUUGAGAUGAGGUCUCCCACCACGAGAGUGGGUAAGGCUCCCGGUAGACGACCGGGUUGAUAGGCCGGAGGUGGAAGCACGGUAACGUGUGGAGCUGACCGGUACUAAUAGGCCGAGGACUUGACC